rnacentral:rRNA from 1 species
CAUGACAGUCGUACGCUUCUUUUUCCACCGGAGCUUGCUCCACCGGAAAAAGAAGAGUGGCGAACGGGUGAGUAACACGUGGGUAACCUGCCCAUCAGAAGGGGAUAACACUUGGAAACAGGUGCUAAUACCGUAUAACAAUCGAAACCGCAUGGUUUUGAUUUGAAAGGCGCUUUCGGGUGUCGCUGAUGGAUGGACCCGCGGUGCAUUAGCUAGUUGGUGAGGUAACGGCUCACCAAGGCCACGAUGCAUAGCCGACCUGAGAGGGUGAUCGGCCACAUUGGGACUGAGACACGGCCCAAACUCCUACGGGAGGCAGCAGUAGGGAAUCUUCGGCAAUGGACGAAAGUCUGACCGAGCAACGCCGCGUGAGUGAAGAAGGUUUUCGGAUCGUAAAACUCUGUUGUUAGAGAAGAACAAGGAUGAGAGUAACUGUUCAUCCCUUGACGGUAUCUAACCAGAAAGCCACGGCUAACUACGUGCCAGCAGCCGCGGUAAUACGUAGGUGGCAAGCGUUGUCCGGAUUUAUUGGGCGUAAAGCGAGCGCAGGCGGUUUCUUAAGUCUGAUGUGAAAGCCCCCGGCUCAACCGGGGAGGGUCAUUGGAAACUGGGAGACUUGAGUGCAGAAGAGGAGAGUGGAAUUCCAUGUGUAGCGGUGAAAUGCGUAGAUAUAUGGAGGAACACCAGUGGCGAAGGCGGCUCUCUGGUCUGUAACUGACGCUGAGGCUCGAAAGCGUGGGGAGCAAACAGGAUUAGAUACCCUGGUAGUCCACGCCGUAAACGAUGAGUGCUAAGUGUUGGAGGGUUUCCGCCCUUCAGUGCUGCAGCUAACGCAUUAAGCACUCCGCCUGGGGAGUACGACCGCAAGGUUGAAACUCAAAGGAAUUGACGGGGGCCCGCACAAGCGGUGGAGCAUGUGGUUUAAUUCGAAGCAACGCGAAGAACCUUACCAGGUCUUGACAUCCUUUGACCACUCUUGAGAUAGAGCUUCCCCUUCGGGGGCAAAGUGACAGGUGGUGCAUGGUUGUCGUCAGCUCGUGUCGUGAGAUGUUGGGUUAAGUCCCGCAACGAGCGCAACCCUUAUGGUUAGUUGCCAUCAUUCAGUUGGGCACUCUAGCAAGACUGCCNGGUGACAAACCGGAAGAAAAGUG